AAAGAGAGAAGAGAGACUGGCCAGUGGCGGUAUGGUAGCCAGUCAGGGAGCACAAGAGAAUAGAAAUGGCGAAGAAGAAAUAUGCAGGCGCCUCACCUCAUCAUUUCAUCAGCUUAUUCUGUUUUCCCAUCGAUUAAUUAUAGUACACUUGGUGAAAACACCUCUUCAACUUAUCUGUGUGCUCUGGUUGAUUUGUGUUUAAAUUCUACGUUCUUCUCAAAGGAAGCACUGCGGUUGUUGAAGAGUUAUAUCACCAUAUUUGAACAAGGCGAGGUCCCUGUCCAGGUUGCCAUUUUUAUGUGUAGCUGUACUUGUUGAACAUCUACCCUUGUGUACCCUGUUGGCUCGCAAAUAGUAUAGAGCACAUUUCUGUGUUUUUAAUGUAUUUCCAUGCCAGUAAGUGGACUUCAAUAUUUUUUUUUUAAAAAAAACGUGUCUUUCUCCGGCAGAAUGAGGCUGUCUUCUAGGCAUAUGCUGCACAACUUCCAUAACCUUUGGUCAUUGGUGGUGGCGGAGGAGGCGAGAGUGACCUCACAAGUAGCCAAGUUGGCAUGAUGAACGAGUAAGAAUGUGACUCAUAUCUGAAAGGACUACUUUGUGAUAUCUGGUUUCGUUUUUGUUGGAGUAGAGCUAUGAUAUAUCCUUAUAUUGUUAGAGAUUGUGACUAUCUAUGUGAAUCAUUCAUGAUCCUAGACUUUCUCCA